CCACACAGACCUGGAAUCAGCAGAGAGAAACUCUGCAAGAUGUGGUGGACGAGCUCAAGAAGACCCUGCCUGACAUGAAAGCAGAGAUUACUGCACCCAGCGGUCCUCUCUCCCUGCAGGGCAGCAUGAUGUGUAAGGAGGAAUCCAAUGGGCACACCAGCGCAUCCUGGGAGUUUGGAUUGCGUGGAAAGAAAUCUCUCCGCUUUGACUCAAAGAACAGAAACUGGACAGUUUUGCACAAUGAAGGCACACUGUUAAAGAAAACAUUGGCACGUGACAGAGCUAUGACUUAUCUCCUUAUUAGGACCUCAGUUGGAGACUGUAGGAAGUGGCUUAAAGAAGUUUUGUGUCCCCAGGAUGAAAUUCUGAGCACAAAAGGUAAUUCUCCAGAGGGAAUGAAGUUGUAGGUCCCUUAAAAUGACAUUCACACUCUGUGUGUGCGUUUGUAUUGUGUGUGGUUUGAAAAAGUGAUCCACCUACCACACUGGAGUUUUCUGGAGGAAAAAGGCCUUAAAUGUGCUCUGCAAUCCCUGUUUGGUUUCUCUCUUCUUCAUGUCUCUUCCUUUGGUUUCUCACUUCCUCACGUCUCUGCCUGAACAUAACCUUGGACCACUCACCAUGGAUUUCUUGCUGACUGCAAACCUGUGGGCAUUAUUCUGUUUUCAGACCUUUUCCUUGUCCUGUUGCCUCUUCUCACCUUCACUUCUCUCUUCAACUCACCUGGCCUGUUCUGGAAAUCCUUUAACACCACCUCAGAGCAGCUCCUGGGAGGAUUCUCUACCACCUUCCUCAUGUGUCACCUCCUCUUCUAUCCCAGCAGGAGUAAUUAUUGUAACCCUUGCUUCCCCAUUAGCUGUGUGAGCCCCAAGUGGCCAGGGCCCAUCUCCUCUCUUUGCUCCAAGCCCAGGUCCUGUCACCGUAGCUGCCACACGUAGAGGGUAGAAACUGUCUGCAUCAUAGGAUUACCUGGGACAGCGUGGGCUGAGGAGGCAUCUUAUCAGAAUGGGGUGCUGCACAGAUGUCACUCUUGUGUUUCAUUGCAGAUGCAUCAACCACUGCCACAGCGACAGUCCCAUCCAAGGCCAGAACCAAGACGCCCAUCGCCUGGUGGAUCUACCCUGUGAUCUUCAUCUGCCCAAUCAUACUUGGCAUCUUAGGCUGAGGCCUUUACAGUAACAGGCUGCUGAUGCGACCAAGGAGGCCCUGGUGCUGUGGACCAUCUCAGCGACUCUGCCUUUGCUUGGCUGCCUCUGGAUGACCUGCUGCUCGUUGUUAGAACACGAGGAGUUCAAACUUUCUGUCCAGAGACCAGGGUCAGAUCAGGAUGAGACAGUAGAGGCAGCAUCUCAUGUCUGUUAUUGCAUUUGCUGAGUAUCCUCCUCAGGGCUUUUUAAACAUAUCAUGUCACUUUCUGUGGUGCUAAGAGAUGUAAUUCCUACAUUUAAACAUUAAUGGCUUCAAUAAGAAAUCUCAAGAAAGAUAAAAUUGUCCAUCUUUUUGUGGAUGAUCAGUUACAUCUCUGCAUCAUGACUUUUUAUGCAAAUGAUAUUGCCAAAAAGUGCCAAACCUCACAAUUUCUU